AUUGAACGCUGGCGGCAUGCCUAACACAUGCAAGUCGAACGAACCCUUCGGGGUUAGUGGCGCACGGGUGCGUAACGCGUGGGAAUCUGCCCUUGGCUUCGGAAUAACAGUUAGAAAUGACUGCUAAUACCGGAUGAUGUCGCAAGACCAAAGAUUUAUCGGCCAGGGAUGAGCCCGCGUAGGAUUAGGUAGUUGGUGGGGUAAAGGCCUACCAAGCCGACGAUCCUUAGCUGGUCUGAGAGGAUGAUCAGCCACACUGGGACUGAGACACGGCCCAGACUCCUACGGGAGGCAGCAGUGGGGAAUAUUGGACAAUGGGGGCAACCCUGAUCCAGCAAUGCCGCGUGAGUGAUGAAGGCCUUAGGGUUGUAAAGCUCUUUUACCCGGGAUGAUAAUGACAGUACCGGGAGAAUAAGCUCCGGCUAACUCCGUGCCAGCAGCCGCAGUAAUAC
rnacentral:rRNA from 1 species